rnacentral:rRNA from 1 species
AAAUUGAAGAGUUUGAUCAUGGCUCAGAUUGAACGCUGGCGGCAGGCCUAACACAUGCAAGUCGAGCGGUAGCACAGAGAGCUUGCUCUCGGGUGACGAGCGGCGGACGGGUGAGUAAUGUCUGGGAAACUGCCUGAUGGAGGGGGAUAACUACUGGAAACGGUAGCUAAUACCGCAUAAUGUCGCAAGACCAAAGUGGGGGACCUUCGGGCCUCAUGCCAUCAGAUGUGCCCAGAUGGGAUUAGCUAGUAGGUGGGGUAACGGCUCACCUAGGCGACGAUCCCUAGCUGGUCUGAGAGGAUGACCAGCCACACUGGAACUGAGACACGGUCCAGACUCCUACGGGAGGCAGCAGUGGGGAAUAUUGCACAAUGGGCGCAAGCCUGAUGCAGCCAUGCCGCGUGUGUGAAGAAGGCCUUCGGGUUGUAAAGCACUUUCAGCGGGGAGGAAGGCGCUAAGGUUAAUAACCUUGGCGAUUGACGUUACCCGCAGAAGAAGCACCGGCUAACUCCGUGCCAGCAGCCGCGGUAAUACGGAGGGUGCAAGCGUUAAUCGGAAUUACUGGGCGUAAAGCGCACGCAGGCGGUCUGUCAAGUCGGAUGUGAAAUCCCCGGGCUCAACCUGGGAACUGCAUUCGAAACUGGCAGGCUAGAGUCUUGUAGAGGGGGGUAGAAUUCCAGGUGUAGCGGUGAAAUGCGUAGAGAUCUGGAGGAAUACCGGUGGCGAAGGCGGCCCCCUGGACAAAGACUGACGCUCAGGUGCGAAAGCGUGGGGAGCAAACAGGAUUAGAUACCCUGGUAGUCCACGCCGUAAACGAUGUCGAUUUGGAGGUUGUGCCCUUGAGGCGUGGCUUCCGGAGCUAACGCGUUAAAUCGACCGCCUGGGGAGUACGGCCGCAAGGUUAAAACUCAAAUGAAUUGACGGGGGCCCGCACAAGCGGUGGAGCAUGUGGUUUAAUUCGAUGCAACGCGAAGAACCUUACCUGGUCUUGACAUCCACAGAACUUUCCAGAGAUGGAUUGGUGCCUUCGGGAACUGUGAGACAGGUGCUGCAUGGCUGUCGUCAGCUCGUGUUGUGAAAUGUUGGGUUAAGUCCCGCAACGAGCGCAACCCUUAUCCUUUGUUGCCAGCGGU